rnacentral:rRNA from 1 species
AUUGAACGCUGGCGGCAUGCCUUACACAUGCAAGUCGAACGGCAGCACGGGGCAACCUGGUGGCGAGUGGCGAACGGGUGAGUUAUGCAUCGGAACGUACCUUUCAGUGGGGGAUAACGUAGCGAAAGUUACGCUGAUACCGCAUAUUCUGUGAGCAGGAAAGCAGGGGAUCGCAAGACCUUGCGCUGAUUGAGCGGCCGAUGUCAGAUUAGCUAGUUGGUGAGGUAAAGGCUCACCAAGGCGACGAUCUGUAGCGGGUCUGAGAGGAUGAUCGGCCACACGGGACCUGAGCCACGGUCCAGACUCCUACGGGAGUAAGCAGUGGGGAAUUUUGGACAAUGGGGGCAACCCUGAUCCAGCCAUGCCGCGUGAGUGAAGAAGGCCUUCGGGUUGUAAAGCUCUUUCGGCCGGGAAGAAAUCGCACGGGCUAAUACCCUGUGUGGAUGACGGUACCGGAAUAAGAAGCACCGGCUAACUACGUGCCAGCCGCCGCCGUAAAAC